CACUCUGCCUCUCUCGUCCAGAUAGACGCAGCGCCCGUUUCCACAAACCCUAACCGAAGCUCCCCGGUGGGAAGGGACAUGAAUACGGAAGGUCUAAGCAGCAUCUGCUCCGGUCUCGGAAUAGCGGAUGAGGACGACAAUGGGAAUGUGAAAGGCUACACGAAGACCGAAUACUGUCUAGAUAAUUUGAAGGAUCUGCAGAGGUUUCUGCGGAGGGAUGAUCCGCAGCGGAGGGAUGUUUUCAAGCAGACAUGCAGAUGGAAUACGGUGUCACGCGAUCUUGUUCCAAUUAUCGAGCAUUACCAAAGCGAUAAGAAUUUGGUAAUUAGCGCAGUGAAGAUUUUGGUGUUCCUUACGAUGCCAGUUGACUCUGCAUCCGAGGAUGUGGCGUUACAGAUUGAAUAUCUGUGGGAAUUGAAGGCUGCGCUGACCCGCGAAGUCGCGAUGGCUGUUAUAGUUUCUAUAUUGGAAGAACCAUUGGGUAAUUUGGAAAGCGGCACAUUUACAGAGGAUGAUUGGAAGUUAGUUCAACUUGUGCUUACAUUGUUUCGCAACAUUCUUGCCAUCCAAGACAUUACAGCACAGCAGAAGGCAUCAGGACACGCCACACAAUUUUUCCAUUUGACAGAUCGGUUUUUGGAAAUCAUGUUCCAGGAAAAUACGAUGGAACUUAUUUUAGUUUUGGCACAGCAUAUUGAUGACCCUAAUGGUUUUCUUCGUCAAGACAAUUUGCUUUUACUUGAGAUUUUUCACUAUAUUCUGCUUGGAAGAGAACCAGAAUUGGUUGCAAAAGCUUUCACCAUUAAGUCCAAGGCUAAUGCAGGUAGUGCUACUUCAGAUUCUCUUAGAUCAAUAAUAAAGGCAGAAGAUGAAAAGAGAAAGUUAAUUAAACAAAGGAAUGCUGAAUGCCAUCAACAGUUCAGUGGAACAUUUACUCGGUUAGCCAUGGAUGGUUCAAAAAUGUUAUUCAAUGAUCCCGCUUCGGCAUCAACAAAUGGCUUAGCUAAAGUUCGUAAGGUUCAACGAGGCCCGAUGAAAAAAGUUGCCUCUGAAAAUCGAGUUUUGUCUCUACAAGAGGAAAACAUUCUCGGGCUACUACACAAUUUCUUAAAUCAAUUCUUACAUGGUGGCUAUAAUGUUCUAAUGCAGACAAUCCGGGAUGAUAUUAUAAAAGAACAACAAGAAAUCCAGAAGAGUGACAUUAUUACGUAUUUUCAAGUCAUCCGCUUUAUUACAGCUUUUCAUCAUAAAAAGAUUUUAACGAAGAGGCAAAAUAUGGAGAAUAUGGAAGAAAAUUUUUCUAUCAACAGUCAAUCUGUGGACUACCUUUCAUUGCAUGAGGACUUAUGUGGACCAAUUGCAGCAACUAUGAAUGAAGCAAUGUUCUUUUUAGUCAUAUCUAAAUGGCGCGAGGCUUCUGAUGGUGUGAAGAUAACUAAUGAUUACAAGUUUCUUACUGCUGCUGGAUCUCUUAUGAAGAACAUGGUUCGUGUGCUAGAUUUGGUGAUGAAAUUGCUGCCUGUAGAUUCGAAGGAGUGUCAAACAGCUCGUGUGCUGUUGUAUAAAUUAUUCUAUGAUCAGACUGAUGAGGGGCUUACACAGUUCCUUAUGAACCGUUUCAAAUGUUUUGAUUCUCAUAAACAACCUAGAAGUGAUCUUGCAGAUCUAUUGGAAAUCAUACAUAUUAUGUUACGACUUAUGGAGAAACUUCAGGCUCAUGGCACUUUAAGGGUAUCUAAGAAAUUUCGGAGAAGAAAGGUUAGAAACAAGUCUUCAAAGGACAAGACCGAAGCUGAACCAGAAUUCAUAAGAGAACCAGAAAUUGCCCAUGAACAUGUGGAACAUAUCUCUGAAAUGUGUAUAGACCCUGCCAAUUCAGUCAAGGAGAAACAUUCAGAGUUAAAUUCUAUUGAGGGGAAAUUAGAAAUAGACCAAGAAGGCAUCAUGAACUUUAACCCAGCAGCUGUGCUGGAUGAUGAAGAAAAUGAGAAACCAGCAGAUCAGGAAUAUGAAACAAGCAGUUCUUCAAACACCGAGGAGGCUGCAACCAAUGAAGUUAAUUUUAGUGUCUCAGCAUUAGUUUCUAAUUUUGCAAGUAACACUAUUAUCCAUAAUUUAUGCUGGUUGUUGAAGUAUUAUAAAGCCAAUUCUGCAAGCACUAACCACUAUAUCUUAUGCAUGCUGAAUCGGUUCUGUGAGGAUUUGGAGCUUUCCCCCAUGCUUUAUCAGUUAUCUCUACUCACUAUAUUUUAUGAUAUCUUAGCUGAGCAAAAUAAGUGUAAAUCAAAGGACUACAUGAACAUCAUAAAUUUUCUUACCAAGUUUUUAAGAAAGAUGUUUAAGAUAAUGAGAAGUCAGCCUUUGCUUUUUGUUGAAAUACUCUUUUGGAAGACACGUAGAGAAUGUCAGUUUUUCAAUGCCGAAGUUCUCAUGGAAAGCAUUGGCAACCUGAGAAAAGAUUUAAGAAAAAUGGUUGGUGACUCAAAUGUUGGAUUUAGUCGACAUGGUGAUAUGGGCUAUAGAAGCAUAGCAGAUGCUCUGGGUGAUGAUGAGAUUGACUUAGAUCUUCCUCCAAUUCACCAUGAUCAAAUGGCGGGACAUUCGUCUGAUUCCGUUGAAGGUAAUUCUGAUAGAAUCAAGGGAAGUCAAGUGCAAAAGAGAAGCGAGGCUUCUGCCUCAGAAAAUGAGACGAACAUGAAUAGAAGUGAAAUCACACCUUCCAGUCCACAAAUUGAGGUUGCUUCGAGAAGUAGAAGAAAGCGAGUACGCGCCUUCAACAAAGAAGAGGAGCUUCAGAUCACAAUCCUAUAUGAAAAGUUCAAAGAUCAUAAAAAGCGGAAUGUCAUGAUUGCUAAUGCUCUGAACCCUGACCAAAAAUUCACUGCGGCCCAAGUUUCCCGCAAGCUUAAAGAACUUGGCUUAUUACCUCAUAAAAAGAGCUCAUCGGUGUCGGGAAAACACAACAAUGGGAAUGAAAUCAGUGAAGUAAAAGAUAACUCUGAUGAGGAAACGUUGCUAGCAUUUAGAGAGAGAAGUAAUAAAAAGAAACGUGUGCCAGGAAUGCAUGCUAUCACAAUGACUAGUUCAUCGCUGCAGCAAGCAGCUCUUCGAGAAAAUGAUUCCGAUGAUAUGGUUUUGAGUUCCUUCUUAACAAAUACAUCAGCCAAACGCAAACCAAAACCAUCUGUAGCAGAUCAAGAUGUUCCAGAAGCAACUGAUUCUGAAACUUGGGCCAUGAAUAACACUCCAAUUGAACUUGAUAGAGGAAAGCAUAUCCAACUUGGUGAAAUCUCUGCUUCAAACCAAGAUAUGCAGGUUGUACAUUCUGAACUAGAGGAUUCCAUGGAUUCUGCUGAUGAUAUGGGUCCUGUGGUUCCCAGAAAAAUGAAAAGAAUGAUACUUGACUUUGAAGAAGAUGAUGAUGAUUGAACUAUAGAAACCCUAGAGGUUGGUUAAGAUUAUUUUGUGAGGCUUCAAGGGGCUGUAUGGUAACGGAUUUCAGUAAGAUUUAAGCUAAAUGUUGCUAGAGAUUAAUAAAAAAAUGGGAGGCGCUCCGUAUCGCAUACAAGUGCGUUAAUGAUGCACAUUAAACCACUAAUAAUGUAUUCUUCUUUGUGGAACAAGCAUUGAAUGAGAGAAAUGUGAGGAUGAGCUGGUUGGCUUGUCUUUUAAGGCAAGUUAGUAAUGUACUUCAAUGAAUUUGCACCCACUUUUAAUGAUAUCAUCAAG